rnacentral:rRNA from 1 species
UGGGGAAUCUUCCGCAAUGGACGAAAGUCUGACGGAGCAACGCCGCGUGAGUGAAGAAGGUUUUCGGAUCGUAAAACUCUGUCUUUUGGGGCGAACGUGAGUAUGGUGAACAAUCAUAGUCAGUGACGGUACCAAAGGAGGAAGCCACGGCUAACUACGUGCCAGCAGCCGCGGUAAUACGUAGGUGGCAAGCGUUGUCCGGAAUUAUUGGGCGUAAAGAGCGCGUAGGCGGGAUAGUCAGUCUGUUGUAAAAGUGCGGGGCUCAACCCCGUGAUGGCAAUGGAAACAGCUAUUCUUGAGUGCAGGAGAGGAAAGUGGAAUUCCCAGUGUAGCGGUGAAAUGCGUAGAUAUUGGGAGGAACACCAGUGGCGAAGGCGACUUUCUGGACUGUGUCUGACGCUGAGGCGCGAAAGCCAGGGGAGGCGAACGGGAUUAGAUACCCCGGUAGUCCUGGCCGUAAACGAUGGGUACUAGGUGUGGGAGGUAUCGACCCCUUCCGUGCCGGAGUUAACGCAAUAAGUACCCCGCCUGGGGAGUACGGUCGCAAGACUGAAACUUAAAUGAAUUGACGGGGUCAUAGCUGUUUCCUG